UAUUAUUUUCAAGAUUUGCAAUCAAAAUUGUGAGCCUCAGAAGUCAGCUGCUUGGGCAUUUCAUAACACAAAGCCCGAGACUGAUAAACUUGACUCGUGUUUGCAUGCCUGAUCUCCCCAACCGCACCAUAGUUACUGAGGGGCAGGCUCCAAGACUUCUGUUAUAUGUCUCAUUCAUUCAGAGCAGACACUCGAAGAUUCUUCAUAAGGCAUGGAGUACCAGAGCUAAAGGGAGUGUGGAACACCAUCGGAUCUAACAUUCUCAUCUCCGGACUGAGAUCGAAAGACCCCAGGAAGUCCAACGACCUGCCCAAGGUAACUCAGUUAGUAGCAAGAUGAGAAUUUGCACCUAGGACUCCGAACUCCCAGAUUCAUCGGAUGGAUUCAUAAGAAACAUCAAAAAGCUCAGAGAAGACUCAAUAGUUUGAAAGGCUGCCACUGAGAAGGAAUCAGAGGGAGAAGUAGAGUGAACAGCAGUAAGGAAUCGUCAAGCAUCUAUCAUGCCUCGGGGUCCCAUGCUGCUUGCCGGCUACGUGUUUAGUUGUCCCCGAAGUGUGGUCAUUGUUUUAAAUACAUGUUGCCCCUGCUACCCAAAAGUAGAGUGCCCCUGUGAAACCCUUCGUAAGCCAAUAUUGUAAAGCAAAGAGUCAACUACCAUUCAUUUAUAUGGAAAACUUUUAAGCAUUCCCAGAUAGCCUCUCUUCCGCUUUUCUGAUACCUUAGGACACAUCUUGCUAACGGAUGCACCGAAUAAAUGGAGGUGGAGCUCACAGACACAGACACAGACACAGACACAGACACAGUUUGGAGCUCUGGAGGUUUCACACUGAGAUGCUGAGAGUGGUUCCCGGGGAAGGUGGCUGGCGGGGCCUCAUUCGCUGCUCAGGCGUGUCUGCCUCUGUAAGGGCUUGCCUCUGUAACAGCUUGAGUGCUAUUUUCUCUUUUCAUCUUUUUCCCUAAAAGCAAAAAUCCUUUCCGGAUUUCUUUUGGUUAAUGAAAGCACGUACUCAUGUGGGUCUUUCGAAAAAGCAAAGUGGUGGAAUGAGAAUUUUCAACAAGUGGGGAAUACCUGCAUUUAUUUCGUUUCAAAAUAAUACAAAGUCUAAUCAAUUCGCUGCCCAACCAAAAAAAAAAAAAAAUCAGGAUAACAACAAAAUAUGGACUAUUAUAUUUUCCUCGUAUUCUGCCUUUGUUUAUUGCAAAUUUGGGGAAACAAAUCCACAUCUUUGAACAUGUGGAACCCUCUGAUAGCAUUCCAUCCCUCUGGAUAGCAUCCCAGAGCCCUCUGAUAGCAUUCCAUCGCCCACAGCAUGAACUCCUGUUUCUUUGUGACUGUCACCCAGGCCCCUUGUGCUGGUCACUGUCUUGAGCUCUCCACACUCCGAUAGCUGAUUUACAGUUAGCACCCAAAAGCUUGUAAGUUCUUUCUUCCGUGAGAUGUUUGCACAUGCUGUUCCCUCUUCCUAGCCAGCCUUUUCUUUCUCUGCCUUUGCCGGCUGUGUUUUUCUCAUCAUUAACCUCUUUAGAGAAAAGCAAAAAAAAAAAAAAAAAAAAAAAAAAGUAGGGU